rnacentral:rRNA from 1 species
UACGUAGGGGGCCAGCGUUGUCCGGAUUCAUUGGGCGUAAAGAGCUCGUAGGCGGUUCGGUAAGUCAGGUGUGAAAUCUCCACGCUCAACGUGGAGGGGCCACCUGAUACUGCCGUGACUCGAGUCCGGUAGGGGAGUAUGGAAUUCCCGGUGUAGCGGUGAAAUGCGCAGAUAUCGGGAGGAACACCAGUGGCGAAGGCGGUACUCUGGGCCGGAACUGACGCUGAGGAGCGAAAGCGUGGGUAGCAAACAGG